GAUGGUAGCCGCGGUUCGGAGCCCAUUUUCUGGAGGGGGAGCUGCAAUGAUGCAAUCCCCCGGCCCCGCGUCCCGGCUGCGCGCCCUUCUCCCUGCCUUUUCUUCACGUUCGUUUUGAGGCGCGUCGACGUUUGGCUCCCAGCACGCCUCGAUUCCUUUCUGUAUUUUUCACUCGGGGAUUCCUGCCUCCUCUGUGUGUGUCCCCACGCGAGACAGGCCCGGGGCGCGGAUGGCCGCACGGGGACUUGAGUAAAAGCUUCGGAAGAGCAAGUGUCUACGCUAACGAGGGUUAAGAUGAAAUGGCGAAGGCAGCGUUCCUCGGCAGCCCGGAAAGGUCUCGGCGCGCGGCCGGUGGGCACACCGUGGCCUGAAAGGCCGCCCGCCCCGCUCCCCUCCUGUUGAUUUCCACUGUCCCCUCCGUCCCCAGUUAUGCCUCUGGACCCACAGUUUCCUAGGUCUUCCCUGCCCUGGUCCCCCGCACUGGGCAGCGGGGAUGCAACCGAGGGACUUAACAGAGCGGGUGUAAGGGAGGAAGCGACCCCCGCGAGCGGCUGUGGCGCGCGGCCCCUCCUGCGCACGGCUGCGGCCCUCCUGGGCCGCCGGCGAGCCGAGAAGCCUUUCGAAAUGCGCGGGGCUGCGGAUCAUUGGAGCCUGGGGUGGGGGUGGGAGCGGGCUGCUGCCCUGGAGGGUCCACGAAUUCGGAAAGGUUCUUCUCUCCGCUCGAAUCUCCCCAGCGCCCUGGAGUUGGCGGGGUACUGAUGUGCAGGGUCUGAUUGUGGAGAGGAAUGGGGGUUUUCGCUUCUUUCUUAGCCCAGAGGAGAAAUGAUGAGGGAGGCAAGUUUCGGAGAAACCGCCCAGCCCAGCUGCGGGGGCCGAGGCGCAGCCGCCCUCCAUGGCCUGCGGGCGCCCGGGGCGCGGGAACUGCGCGCAGUGAUCCGGGCGGUGCGGGAGCCGCCAGUUGCAGACGAGGAGCUAGACUUAAUAGCCUUUUCGUCCCGAGGCUCCAGCCAGCCUGACCCCGCAACUGCCGCGGCGGGCCGGCGCGGGGCUGCGGGGCAGGGUGGAGAGACGACGGCGCAGUGGCCGGGGUAGCGGGGUAGGGGGUGGCUGGCGCCGGCGGCCGCAUCCCCUCGGAGGGACGCCCGCGGCGGACCCUGCAGUCCGGGGUCGGGGAGAGGACGCUCCGAAUCCCGGGAACACGUUUGGAGACUUGACAUAGAACGCGUGAAGGACCGACACGGUGACUUUAGGGACUGCGUUCCUGUGAACGUGCCUGGCGCGGCGAGCAUCCACUUCUUCCUGGCCCAGCACUCCUAAAACGCAAUCUCUAAAAAUUCACAUUAAAGAUGGCUCUUUGGGAAAGAAACGGGUUAUAAGCAGCAAUUAGAAGAGGACUUUUUCCCCCUAUCUGUUAGAGACACUUUUUAAAGUAUCCUUUUUGGCUCAGUGAGAAUUUAUUUCAUUAUUUCCUGACUCUCCACUCCUUCCUCCCCAUUUUGAAUUGUUUUUCUUGCUUUCUCAGUCUCUUCCUGAAAAACACCCUGCCUUCGUGUUUUGAAUAGAAUCACAAAAACACCUUUAGUCUUUAAUUAAAAUAAUACCAACUUGGAAGAUGUGGCCCAGCCACCAAAGUACCUACUUUUCCCUUCCUGGCAGUCGAAGAGACUCAACCCUGGGGGUUUUUUUGGUUUUUUUGUUUUUUGAUAAGCAAUUUCAGGUCAAAAUAAGCUGAAAUUAUCUUGUUUAGAGCCCCUUUUGGGGUGCAAUAAAUUAAAUGCAAGUAUUUGAGAGAAACAAUUGAACCCAAAUCCAGAUUUUUGCAUUUAACCAUUUGCAGAUUCCUAGAAAAAAUAAUUUAAUCUUACACCUUAGCCACAUUUUAUGAGAAUUUCAAAUUGCAGGGAUUAUCCUAAUAAAUCUGACUUUAAAAUGCC